rnacentral:rRNA from 1 species
CCUACGGGAGGCAGCAGUGGGGAAUAUUGCGCAAUGGACGAAAGUCUGACGCAGCAACGCCGCGUGAGGGAUGACGGCCUUCGGGUUGUAAACCUCUUUCAGCAGGGACGAAGCGAGAGUGACGGUACCUGCAGAAGAAGGACCGGCCAACUACGUGCCAGCAGCCGCGGUAAUACGUAGGGUCCGAGCGUUGUCCGGAAUUAUUGGGCGUAAAGGGCUCGUAGGCGGUUCGUCACGUCGGGAGUGAAAACUCGGAGCUUAACUCCGAGCCUGCUUCCGAUACGGGCAGACUAGAGGUAGGCAGGGGAGGGCGGAACUCCUGGUGUAGCGGUGGAAUGCGCAGAUAUCAGGAAGAACACCGGUGGCGAAGGCGGCUCUCUGGGCCUUACCUGACGCUGAGGAGCGAAAGCGCGGGUAGCGAACAGGAUUAGAUACCCUGGUAGUCCACGCCGUAAACGUUGGGCGCUAGGUGUGGGGGACAUUCCACGUCCUCCGUGCCGCAGCUAACGCAUUAAGCGCCCGCCUGGGGAGUACGGCCGCAAGGCUAAAACGUCAAAGGAAUUGACGGCUGAGAGUUGCGAGCGACGACGAGGAGAG